rnacentral:rRNA from 1 species
AACAUUUGGUUCUUUCGUCUUGUCCCGUUUUGUUGUGAAACGUUGUGACGAGUCCUAGAAUCAUUCUGGUUGAAAGCGCUUCUGCCCUUUAUUGGGUUGGUCGUGUGAUCUGCCUCUUUUACUGUGAGAAAAACAAAGUGCUCAAAGCAGGCUUUACAGCUUGAAUGCGUUAGCAUGGAAUAAUAAGAUAGGACUUUGUUUCUAUUUUGUUGGCUCUGAGGAACAAAGUAAUGAUUGAUAGGGAUAGUUGGGGGUGCUCGUAUUUAACGGUCAGCGGUGAAAUGCAUGGACCCGUUAAAGACGAACCUAUGCGAAAGCAUU